GGCGAACGGGUGAGUAACACGUGGGUGAUCUGCCCUGCACUUCGGGAUAAGCUUGGGAAACUGGGUCUAAUACCGGAUAGGAGCCAUUUUUAGUGUGAUGGUUGGAAAGUUUUUUCGGUGUAGGAUGAGCUCGCGGCCUAUCAGCUUGUUGGUGGGGUAAUGGCCUACCAAGGCGGCGACGGGUAGCCGGCCUGAGAGGGCGUACGGCCACAUUGGGACUGAGAUACGGCCCAG
rnacentral:rRNA from 1 species